GCCUGGGUGGCUAAGGUGGUAAAGCGUCUGACUUCAGCUCAGGUCAGGAUCUCACGGUUUGUGAGUUCGAGUCCUGCCUCAGGCU
rnacentral:tRNA from 1 species